rnacentral:rRNA from 1 species
UACGUAGGGUGCAAGCGUUGUCCGGAAUUAUUGGGCGUAAAGAGCGUGUAGGCGGCCCGAUUAGUCCGCUGUGAAAGUCCAGGGCUCAACCCUGGAAUGCCGGUGGAUACUGUCGGGCUAGAGUCCGGAAGGGGCGAGUGGAAUCCUGGUGUAGCGGUGAAAUGCGUAGAUAUCAGGAGGAACACCAAUGGCGAAGGCAGCUCGCUGUGACGUGACUGACGCUGAGACGCGAAAAGCGUGGGGGAGCAAACAGG